rnacentral:rRNA from 1 species
CCCUUAGAUGUCCUGGGCCGCACGCGCGCUACACUGAGUGUCUGAGAUACGAGUCUGCCUGGUCCGGCAAGGUCUAGGUAAUCGCUAAAAGACACAUCAUGCUUGGGAUAGAUUAUUGCAAAUAUUAAUCUUGAACGAGGAAUUCCUAGUAAGCGCAAGUCAACAGCUUGCGUUGAUUACGUCCCUGCCUUUUGUACACACCGCCCGUCGCUACUACUGAUUGGAUGUUUAAGCGAGGUUCUCGAACUGCUAGCGACUUAGCUUCGGUGAGGUCGCAGUGUGGGAAGUGAACCUAGCUUUGGUGUCUAGAGGAAGUAAAAGUCGUAACA